AUUGAACGCUGGCAGCAGGCCUAACACAUGCAAGUCGAAUGGUAACAGGAAACAGCUUGCUGUUUCGCUGACGAGUGGCGGACGGGUGAGUAAUGUCUGGGAAACUGCCUGAUGGAGGGGGAUAACUACUGGAAACGGUAGCUAAUACCGCAUAACGUCGCAAGACCAAAGAGGGGGACCUUCGGGCCUCUUGCCAUCAGAUGUGCCCAGAUGGGAUUAGCUAGUAGGUGGGGUAACGGCUCACCUAGGCGACGAUCCCUAGCUGGUCUGAGAGGAUGACCAGCCACACUGGAACUGAGACACGGUCCAGACUCCUACGGGAGGCAGCAGUGGGGAAUAUUGCACAAUGGGCGCAAGCCUGAUGCAGCCAUGCCGCGUGUAUGAAGAAGGCCUUCGGGUUGUAAAGUACUUUCAGCGGGGAGGAAGGGAGUAAAGUUAAUACCUUUGCUCAUUGACGUUACCCGCAGAAGAAGCACCGGCUAACUCCGUG
rnacentral:rRNA from 1 species